CGCGUAGGCGGUUCGGUAAGUUGCUGGUGAAAUCCCGGGGCUCAACUCCGGGGCUGCCGGCACGACUGCCGGACUUGAGCACGGUAGGGGCAGAUGGAAUUCCCGGUGUAGCGGUGGAAUGCGUAGAGAUCGGGAAGAAUACCAGUGGCGAAGGCGUUCUGCUGGGCCGUUGCUGACGCUGAUGCGCGACAGCGUGGGGAGCAAACA
rnacentral:rRNA from 1 species